rnacentral:lncRNA from 1 species
GGGUGGCAUACUCCGUGGCAUUCUGCAUUUGCAAGUUCUUCACCUCUUCCGCAGAACGCUCCCGCACCUUGGUGAACACCUGGAUGUCUGCAUAAUGAAUGCUGUCAUCCUGCUUUGUGUUCUUGGGUUUAUUCACGGUAGCAUAGACUGGAAACUCCGUGACAUUUUCAUAUGCUGGAGCCUUUCUGCCAGGCUGGUGCUGUUGGCUCUCAUGUCUCACACUGGUUCCUUGCUUUUCGUUCUUCCUUUUAAAAAGUGAAGGACAGUUCCACGGGCGCCCGCAGCUGCAGCGGUUGCCCAUGUCGCUCCUUCCCC